CUGAUAGAAUCGGGAAGUUUCGAUUUCUGCUCAUAGGGAAUUACAAACUCCGGCAAUCAUAGCGAAUGCAGAUACCACCCGGUAAGGUAGAUGGGGCAUUCCCACAAACUUGGACGACGGUGGUGUGUACUUCGAAAGAACACACAGCAAUCUCAGAAGUUCUGUAAACAAUAUUUUUUUGGACAAUGUUUUUAUGCCAGUGUGGUGUUCUGUGCCUGGCUCUGCUAAUUACAAACAAGUGUGAAAAUGAGUAUGAAUCAUCUAUGGUUUGUUCUCAGCCAAUUUAGUGAUGCUAGUUAGCUAACCGCAAGCAGACAAUAUUAAAAAUGUCCAUGUUAGGUAUGGUAACCUAGCCAGCUAGUAAUAGAUAUCAAUGCAAUUCGUGGGGUGGAUAAAUGUAGUAUUGUUGUUUAUUUUAUUGUAGGUGGUACAGAAUCUGAUUCCACCAACAGGCGCUUCCAAUCCCUAGCUCUGCACAAAGUGAAGGUUAUCUGGAGUCAGUCCACAGUGGCCUGCUGAAAAAUAACCCAAAGUGGCGCCAUUUUGGGAACACAAACAUGAGGGAGUGCAUGCACCUUGCGGUUAUGGAGCACAGCAAGAUAGUGGGAUAGAAACCAGCAAGGGCCCCUGAAAGGAGACGUACAGUACCUGCAAAUCUUCUGCAAGAGGACCAAACAGUUGGGGGUUAAGAAGCCCUACACCACUUUCGUCAUUCUUAUCCAGCUGGCUGUUCACCGCAGACCGGACGAGACGUAAGCAUAAAGAGUCUCAGCUUCCCCAUCCCACCAUGCUGAACACCAUUGCCAGUGUACCGAAGCUGGAUAAAGAACUAUGGCUGCGUUUACACAGGCAGCCCAAUUCUGUUAUAUUUUCACUAAUUGGUGUUUUGACCAAUCAGAUAUUUUUCAGAACUGAUCUGAUGUGGUUAAGACCAAUUAGUGGGAAAAAUAUUAGAAUUGGGCUACCUUUGUAAACGCAGCUGGUGUGGCUCAGCUGAAGACCAUGUAGAACAGGGGUCUCUAACCCUCUUCCUGGAGAGCUACCCACUUGUAGGUUUUUGCUCCAACCCCAGUAACUAACCUGGCUCAUCUUAUCAACCAGCUAGAAUCGGGUAUGCUAGAUUAGGGUUGGAGUGAAAACCUACAGGACCAUAGCUCUCCAGGUACAUGGUUGGAGAUCCCUGAUGUAGAACCACCAUAAAAUAAAUAUGGAUAUUUUCUAUCAAUCUUAUACAUUUGUCUGCAUUUAUGGAGUCACAGAAUAUAUGUAUAUUAGCAUUCAAGGACUCUGUAGCAACAAACAGAUGAUAGACCUUCAGAUAUCCAAAUAAUGUUUAUUUGUCUAAAUCUAAGCAGGGGAGUGUAUACUAUUUCAUGUUAACUCAAGAUAACUGGUUAGUCAACAAGAAUGUUGUGCUAAAAUGUUUUUUUAUUUUUAUUAACUGUAGUACAGUUCCGUGUGUCCGAGUGUGUCUCAGGUGUAGAGACAGUGCAGUGCAGAAAACAGUAGCUAUAGAUUGGUACACCAGAUAAUGUGAUUUACUCAAAGAUUAUUGCCAAAAUCUUGUCUAUUUCAAGUCUUCUCUCAUUGAUCGAGACAAGUGGGUGUCCACCCAAAAGUGUUGCAUGUCAUAAUGACAAAGACCUGUCUCGAUCAAUGAGAGAAGACUUGAAAUAGACAAGAUGGCAGCGUACACAUUGUUGGAUUACUUCAUGGAGCAAAAUUAAGUAUUUAUUUUAAUAACGUAACAGUUUCUCAAUUUAAAUCGAGGACGAAGAUGGCAUUGCUAACACCAUGCCCUUUGCGGACAAGCGCACGCGUCCGCAAAUUGAUUUUGUCCCCCCAACAACGAACGCGAUCGCGACACGCAGGUUGAAAUAUCAAAACAAACUCUGAACCAUUUAUAUUAAUUUGGGAACAUGUCUAAAAGCAUUAAACAUUUAUGGCAAUUUAGCUAGCUUGCAGUUGCUAGCUAAUUUGUCCUGGGAUAUACACAUUGAGUUGUUAUUUUACCUGAAAUGCACAAGGACCUCUACUCUGAAAAUUAAUCCACACAUAAAACAGUCAACCAAAUCGUUUCUAGUCAUCUCUCCUCCUUCCGGGUCUUUUCUUCUUUGGACUUUAUAUGGCGAUUGGAAAUUACUUUCAUAAGGUGUAUUACCACCACCGACCUCCGUUCAUCUUUCAAUCGCCCACGUGGGUAUAACCAAUGAGGAGAUGGCACGUGGGCAAAUGCUUCUAAAAGCCCAUGAGGAGCAGGAGAGGCAGGACUGAAGCACGUCCUGUGCCACAAAUAGAAGCAACACAGACUCUAGUUGGUGCGCGCGAGCAGUGUGGGUGCAAUGAUUGAAUAAAAUGUAAAGUCGGAAGUUUACAUACACCUUAGCCAAAUACAUUUAAACACAGUUUUUUCA